rnacentral:rRNA from 1 species
UAGGGAAUCUUCCACAAUGGACGAAAGUCUGAUGGAGCAACGCCGCGUGAGUGAAGAAGGUUUUCGGAUCGUAAAGCUCUGUUGUUGGUGAAGAAGGAUAGAGGUAGUAACUGGCCUUUAUUUGACGGUAAUCAACCAGAAAGUCACGGCUAACUACG